rnacentral:rRNA from 1 species
CAGGUCACUCCUACGGGAGGCAGCAGUGGGGAAUAUUGGACAAUGGGGGCAACCCUGAUCCAGCAAUGCCGCGUGAGUGAUGAAGGCCUUCGGGUUGUAAAGCUCUUUUGCCAGGGACGAUAAUGACGGUACCUGGAGAAUAAGCCCCGGCUAACUUCGUGCCAGCAGCCGCGGUAAUACGAAGGGGGCUAGCGUUGUUCGGAAUUACUGGGCGUAAAGGGCGCGUAGGCGGUCUGAUAAGUUAGGUGUGAAAUUCCCGGGCUUAACCUGGGCGCUGCACUUAAUACUGUUGGGCUUGAAUCCGGGAGAGGAUAGCGGAAUUCCCAGUGUAGAGGUGAAAUUCGUAGAUAUUGGGAAGAACACCAGUGGCGAAGGCGGCUAUCUGGACCGGCAUUGACGCUGAGGCGCGAAAGCGUGGGGAGCAAACAGGAUUAGAUACCCUGGUAGUCCACGCCGUAAACGAUGAGUGCUAGACGCUGGUAGGUUUACCUAUCGGUGUCGCAGCUAACGCAUUAAGCACUCCGCCUGGGGAGUACGGUCGCAAGAUUAAAACUCAAAGGAAUUGACG